CUCUCUGUAGCUCAGUUGGUUAGAGCUUGACAACUGUCUCUCUGUAGCUCAGUUAUUUGGAGCGCUGCACCGGAAUCGCAGGGUCGCAGGUUCGAUUCCUGACAGGGACC